rnacentral:rRNA from 1 species
CCCUUAGAUGUUCUGGGCCGCACGCGUGCUACACUGAGUGGAUCAGCGGGUCAGGUUGCGCGAAACCGUUUCCUAAUCUUUAAAUCCGCUCGUGAUGGGGAUUGACGGUUGCAAUUUUCUGUCAUGAACGAGGAAUACCUUGUAAGCGCGGGUCAUCAUCCCGCGCUGAAUACGUCCCUGCCCUUUGUACACACCGCCCGUCGCUCCUACCGAUUGAGUGGUCCGGUGAGGCUUUGGGAUCUGAGCGGAAAGAGCGUUUCGCUGUUUCUGCUCGGAAAACUCAGUCGAACCUUAUCAUUUAGAGGAAGGAGAAGUCGUAACA